ACAGUCGGUGUGAUGUCUGGUUACACAGAUCCUUCCCUCGUCUCUAGUACUAGCGCUCUCAGCACAUCCCAGUAUUACUGAUAAGGCUGUUCUGAGAACUGCUUGGACAAGCCUUUUCACAGUGGCUGGAAGCAGGAUGAAGUCACUGUAUUUUAUAUAAACCCGACUUUGAUGCCUGGAGAGCCUGUGGUUGUGUAGCUGCUAUCAUAGGAGCUGGUGUUGAAAGAUGAGAGAUGUGAGGAAGGGAACGGACAGACUAGACUCUGGAUUUAAAGCCUGAGGUGGAGUGUGGAAUUGUGAUCGCCGAUGUCUGUCUAACCCAAAUAAGUCUCCCUGCUUUUUGAUUUUUAUGACGGAUAUCAGCAUACGCUGACGAGGACUCUCUAAAGUGGAGAAUGGUGAGAGGACGCUCUUUGUUUACAUCCCUGUUAGGGAGCAUUUCUCCUUCGCCAAGAUAAUCUAUCCACCUGACAGGUGUGGCAUAUCAAGACGUUGAUUUAAACAGCAUGGUCAUUACACAGGUAUACCGUGUGCUGGGGACAAUAAAUUGCCACUCUGAAAUGUACAAUUUUGUCACGCAAUGCCACAGAUGUCUCAAGUUUUGAGGGAGCGUGCAAUUGGUAUGUUGACUGCAGGAAUGUCCACCAAGAUGUUGCCAGAUAAUUUAAUGCUAAUUUCUCUACCAUAUCCCACAUCCAACGAC
ensembl:lncRNA